rnacentral:rRNA from 1 species
CCAACACUGGGACUGAGAACUGCCCAGACUCCUACGGGAGGCUGCAGUCGAGAAUCAUUCGCAAUGGGCGAGAAGCCUGACGAUGCGACGCCGUGUGAGCGAUGAAGGCCUUCGGGUUGUAAAGCUCUUUCGCUUGGGAACAAGAGAGAGUACUGAAUAAGUGCUUG